UUAAAGACAUUUCUUCUUGAGACACAGAGC
rnacentral:piRNA from 1 species